rnacentral:misc_RNA from 1 species
GAGAGGAGAGAGAGAGAGAGAGAGAGAGUGAGAAGGAGAAGGAAAAAAUAUAUAAAAGAAAAUUGAGCAGAGUUGUAGACGCGACAUGGAUACCAAGUUGGAGGCGCGUGGCCAGUUUCCGGCCUCGUUUCCGGACACAUUCAAGAACUUCUUUGCCAUGAUGAACGAAGACGAGGAUCAUGUGGGGCUCUUUGCCAAUCUGCUGGAGGAUAAGGUGAUUCCGCGCCAGAACAGCCCCGUGCAGCCCCAGCGGCAGCGGUACGGUGGCAGCAUGCGGAGUCACAGCGGCGGCGACCGCUCCGAUCGAAGGGGUCGCGCCGAGCGGCAGUACCAGCAGCAGAUCCAGAAUCAUCAUCAUCACCAGCAGCAGCAGCAGCAGCACCAGCAGCAACAGCAGCAGCAGCAAGGCACCCAACAGCAGCGCGUCUUUCAGUCGCGCAGUCGCAGCGGCAGUGGCAGCAGCGUUGACCUUUAUGCUAAUCGCAAUGUAAGUUUCUCGACCACCACCAACCGGGUCAAUUCAUUGCGGAGGAAUCGCUCGCGAGGAUCGCUGACCACUCUGAGCAGCAAUGGCUUAAAUGCCCUGGGCCUGGGACCCGUGACCCUUGCACCGAAUGUCAGCUCGAGCAGCAGCGGCAGCGUCCUGGACUUGACCUUGCCGGGUGGCACUGGUACUGGGACUGGUGACGGAGGUGGCGGAGGUGGAUGCGGUGCCCAGAACGUGUAUCCUUCGCCCGCAAAGUCGAACCUGAAGCCCGCUCUGAAGGCGACCAACUCGUCGGUGGACCGUGGAUGCGCACUCUUCGUUGGAAUCGAUGGUGAAUUUCAUUGCGGUGACAUCAAGUACUGUUCCCUGCACCAUGACAAUUCCGCAGAUGGCAUCCAACAACUCCAGCAGCAGCUCAAGAAUCAGCAACUCGGUUCUGGACAGAAACACGUGACUAUGGCCUGUUGCGAGUGCGUUUGCGGCAGUGGCAAGGCUGCCCGUUCCGGACCCGAUGGCGAGGACAAUUGCGGUGCGAACUACCUGAAGGGCUAUUCUGGCGGAUACAUGCUACCCCCGACGCCCAAGGGGAAGUCCAUCGACAAGACGAGCAACUUCACUUCCGCCGAGCUGGCAGCAUCGAAGAAUAAGGAUCUGCAGGAGCGACAGGAGCGGCAGGAGAAACGUGGGUCGGUCAUCCUCGAAAGGGCCUUCGAUUUCGAUGCCAGCUGCGACGAGAGCGACAGCAUAAGCAGCAGCACCCACAAUCCCGUGCCCUCGCCGGCUCCACACCAGCUGGCCUACAAUGUCCUCAAGCCGAUCCUCAAGCAGCCGCAGCAGCAGCAGCAGAAGGCAAUGUUGCAGCCGCAACAUCAACAGGUAAAUGUACAGCAACAUCAAGGAGUUACGCAGCUGCAAUAUCAACAGGUGACGCAUCAGCAACUGGGCAACCAGCAGCAUCAAGUGGUGACCCAUCAGCCCCACCAGCAGGUGACCCACCAGCAACAUCCAGGAGGAGGUGCCCACCAGCAGCACCAAGUGGUUGCCCAUCAGGCACACCCCCACACGCAGGCUAGCCACCAGCAGCCCGUGCUGCAGGUUCAGCUCCCGACCCCCGGGGUGCACGUGGUGCACCGCCUGCUGCCCACACCGCCCACCCACAGUGGAAAGGGGGCGUACCACACGCGUGAGACGGCCUUGCAGCGGGUGCAACAGCAGAGCGGCUAUUACAACCAGGGGCCGAGCACCUCGGCAUCUGCCUACGGCUAUAACCAGGCCAUGGAGCAACAGCAGAUGCAGCAGCAGCUGCACUACGAUCCUCACCAGGAGCUGCAGUUCGAGCAGCAUCAGCCGCACCAGUCGCAUCAGCAGCAUCAGCAGCAGCAACAUCAGCAGCAACAACAUCAGCAGCAACAUCAGCAGCAGCAGCAGCUGCAACAGCAACAUCAGCAACAUCAGCAGCUGCAGCAUCAGCAGCAGCAACAUCAGCAGCAACAACAUCAGCAGCAACAUCAGCUGCAACAUCAGCAGUACGCGGAUGACACCGAGCUUGAUUACGAUACGGAGUGGGAGUUGGAUGAGGAACCUGCUCCUCAGAUUGUGCCGCCACUCACCACCUUCAACGAUUUCGUCAACGCGGCUCAAAAUCCAACUGGCAGUCGUCAGAGUCUGCGGGCCCAGAAGUCGCCGAUUUUGAACAGGCGUCGCGCCUCAUCCAUAGCCGGAAAUCUUUUGCAUUCGGAUUACACGUACACCCGGAAUAGCAUCGGUGGAGCUCCGAUCGACUCCAACGACUUUCAGCGCAUUUCGCAUAGCAGCAGUGCCAGGGAUCGCAUGUCACUAGCCGGAGUCCUGACCUUUCAGCAGGCCAUGUCCGGAGCUGUGUCACCGCAGUAUGGCACAGUGGGAUCGCUGAAUCCCCAGCCACCCGCUUCUGGUGAAGCCGGGCAGCCGGGAAUUGUGGGAUCCGAUGGCAUUGGCGGUGGCGGAUCUUCACACAACUUAAAUUUGACGGUGGGCCUGGGGUUUCUCGGUGGUUCCAGCACCACUUUGGCUGCUGUCGCCGAGGUGACUAGUGGACCGGAUGGCAAUGGCGACUCCACCGACUCCCCGUCCCCGGUCUCCAUGAUUCCCAGCAAUCAGCAAAAGCAGCAGCAGCAGCAGCUGUUGCAGUUGCAGCUGCAGCAGGAGCAACAGCAUCUGCCCACCCAUUUGCCCAUGAAGCGGGAACGAGGCGUGGGCGAGUCCUCGGGGGCCAGCACAUCCGGCACCGCCAUCGCCGAACUGGCCUCCUCCGUCGUCCUGGCCACCCAGUCCGGCAAGCCGAUGACGGAGCGACAACGCUUAAGGACAUCCAGCAUGCCGGCGGAAAGUAGAAGGCCCCGUCUGGCGGAGAUGCGACGCUCGGCCAUCCAUGCCGGUGAUCCGGACAUGACCUACUACCGUCUGCGGAGCUUCAGCAUCACCUCCCAUGGCAUCUGCAACUUGGGCGAUUCCCUGAGAAGCCGCAGGUCACGUUCGAUCAACUCCGUGACUUCCACCGGCACCUCAAACAGCGGCGUGGAUCGACACAAUAGCAACGCAUCGGGGGCAUCGGGCGAAGUCAUCGACGGGGAUCCCAAUGUUCCGGCCUACAAAAUUGCCAUGCUCGGCGCCUCUGGAGUGGGCAAGACCACCCUGACUUACCAGUUCACCACUUCCGAUUACAUAUGCGCCUACGACCUGAGUCUCGAUGAUGACUACGGACAGAAGACGGUGUCGGUGCUGGUCGAUAACAUUGAGACGGACUUGGAGAUUAUUGAUCAUCCCGCAUGCGAGAUGUCGACGGAGGCCUUCUGCGCCACCUACAACAUCGACCUCUUCGUGGUGGUCUACUCUGUGAUAGAUCGAAACACUUUCGCAGCAGCCGAGCGUGUCCUGCAGUAUCUCAAGGAGAACGAGAUGCUCUUGUCCCGCGGAGCCAUCCUGGUGGCCAACAAAACGGAUCUGCAGCGACACCGAGUUGUCACCCGUCAAAUGGGUCGCAAGGUGGCCAAGGAAAUAGCGUGCAAGUUUAUCGAGACGUCCUCGGGACUGGAUCACAAUGUGGACGAGCUGCUGGUCGGCAUUGUGGCCCAGGUGAAACUCAAUCCGCAGCGUUUGCGAUUGCUAACGGAAUUGGAGCUGCAGCGCCUGAAUCUCCAGAGUACCAUCCAGAAGCACCGUGGAAUGCACCUGCAGACGCGUCGGAUGGUCCGCCAAAUGAGCGUUUGCCAGGGCGACGGGGAGAUCUUCGAUGGCGGAUUGCCGGAGGGGCUGCAGAACGGCGAGGCCAACGACGAUCCGGACGGAGUGCCUAGCACAUCGAAGGCCGGCCGGUCGCGGAUCGAGAAUCCCAACCGCAAGCCCCUAAACCUGGAAAGCAUAUUGAAGAUGGGCGAAAGCGAGGUGGACGAGGACGAGGAUGUGGUCAAGUCGUCGCAGCUGAGCAAGUUCAAUAUGCUGGCGGCCUCCAUACGUCAUCGUCGUCCAUUCCGCAAGCGUCGCUCGUUCGACGGCGGCGUUUCCACGUCUGCAGCCGCGGAUGCAGCCGCCGAACUGCAGCGGCGCUAUCAGCUCCGGGCCAUGGAUGAUCUGCAGCUGGAGGGACGGCUGGCAGGAGCGACGGAGGAGCGCUUCGGGGAGAGAAGUGGACUGGCCGACAGCGAUGACGAGGAGGACGGUGAGGAGGCAGUGGAUGGAGGACACCGGAAUGCCUGCAACCGCAAGGUGGUCAAGAAACUAACCGCCCGCACCAAGGUAUUCAUCUCGUCGGUGCUGCGCUUCAAGAAGGCCAUCAGCCUCAAGCGGCGCAACUCCUCCAGCUGCAGCGAUCUCUUCGUGAUCUAAACGGUUGGCGGCGGCGGCACAGGAAGUAGGAAGCAUAGGAAGCAUAGACUGAAUGUACAUAAACGGAGUAUAGAAGGAGGCGAAGUGGGAGCAUAGAAAUGGAAGCGGAAGCGGAAACGGAACCGGAACCGGAACCAUCCAGACCAGGAGAUCCAGAGACCAAAACAGACAGGCACAACGAAACAGCAGCGCAAACCGAGGUGGAGUCGAACACGGAAGUGCAGGAGUAAAGGAGGUCAACUUAUGAGGAAGUUUCCAGUUGCAUAUUCCACAAAAACUACAGGGACAUUUUCCGUUUCAUUGGCCAACGGACGUUUGCAGAUUCAGAGCUAUAGAUUUUGCACUUUUUGAUGGCAACUGCAACUCGUCGGGCGAAGGCAAGCAAUACGAAAUUCUGGGCCAAACAGAUUUCUAGAAAUUUAUAAUCACUUGAAAUGGCAUUUAAAAGAGUGGUCUAGUUAUCCAUGCCCGUGCGACUUGCGGACUGAAAAUAUAUUGUAGACAACCUUUGGAAACGUAUCUUAUACUUCAGCAUUAACCGCCCGUCUUUCAAUUGGGGGAAAGUGGGAGCUUGGACCAACAGUCCCGGGCAAUUAAGGCCAAAGGGAUUACGGAUUCGAUCCGUGCCCAUCACGCACCCGGCCGCAUAACUGCAACGCAUAGUUUCCAAUUAAAAGUUACUCCAUCCCGGAAUUUGACAAAUGGUCAGGCACUUAAUCAACGCAGCACCAGCACCAGCAUCUCGACCUCCAAAAAUGCUGUUUUCUGCGGCUUAGUCGGGAUUCCCGAGCUGGAAGUUAUGCCCAGGACCAGGACCAGGACCAAGGGCGAAAGUGUGUCCCAUAAAUGACUAAUCAAAAUGCCAGCGAUGCCGAGACCCCCGGAAAGAGUAGGAGAAUAAAAACUUGGAUAAUGGCUGGCUGGAACAUUAAUUAUGCUGCUUCAAUGGUGGCCAUCCUCUAUAUGUAUGCUUACACUUCUACAGGGAACGGAACUCCAAAUGCCGUAGUCAUCGCUGGCUCAGUAAAAAAGGAGUACCUUUUACUUGUAAUUAAGUCCCAGAUUAGUUACAAGAAGGCGAGUCGACUCUGUGGUAACAGUAGCUACGUUUUAGUGGCUCUAAAAUAUUUCAUU